UCAAUCCAAAGAGAAACAAAGUUUCUCUCUCCAAUCAACACCCUUUCUUUGAUAUAUAUUCAGUCAAAGCAAUAAAGAAAGAGUCAAAUGAGACUCACUUUUCCACAAUAAUGGUUCGGCCCAAAUAGAAACCCAGCCCAAUAGAAGACAAUACAAACCCUAAUAUAUAUAUAUAUGAUAUCUUCUCUAACCCUAAACUAAAGCUUCGGCAGCCAUCACUUUAUUUCAAAAAUCAAACUCUUUCAAAUAUCUUUUCUCUCUUUCUCUCUACGGCAGCAACAAGGAAAAAUUCCUAGGGUUAGGGUUUGUAUAUUUUUCCCUUCUCUUCUUCUUCUCUUCAACACAAAUGGAAGCUAGGGUUAUGGGGUUCUAAUGUGUUCUCUUAUCUUCUCCUUCUUUUCAACCGAACCUAGGGUUUCUUCAAGCUUCUCCUUUUCUCUUCAAAUGGCAGAAAUAAAAUGCUACAAACCGAGACAACAACAACCCAAAAACUCACUCCCUCAAAGCUUUACUCACUCAAAACCGAACCCCCAAAAAUCCCCUUUAACUUUCGGCCAAAACAUAUCAAACCCGAAAACUCAAGAACAUGAACACAUACACAAAUACACAUACCAGAAAAUAAUAAGAGUGAGAUGAGAGAAUGCAAACAGUGAUUAAAGUAGAUGACACCAAAACUUUGAUCUCGGAGUUCGCCCAAAACAACCGGCUACUUCUCCGUCAAGCCCUCAAAGCUUGAAUCCAUUCAUCUCAAAAUAGGUUACAAUCUUUGAUUUACAACUUUAUAUUUCUCUCUGUUUUUCUCACUUUUGAUACUAACAAAACUCUCUUUUCUUUUACAUGAACACUCUAGGAGGAGCUCACAUGGAGAUAACAACCCUAAGCCAAAAGGCUCUCUUUUCUCAUGUUGUUCUCUCUGGCUGUGACUAUUUACUUUUGUUGUAUCUCUUAUUUUUGCUCUGAAUAUUAUUGCUUGUUGUAUCUGAGAAAAGCACCUCCUUUUAUAUACUGUUCUGUGAUCUGAUCUAGGGCAGAGCCCUAGUGAUAUUUGUAACUGUUUUUUA